UACGUAGGGACCAAGCGUUGUUCGGAUUUACUGGGCGUAAAGGGCGCGUAGGCGGCGUGACAAGUCACUUGUGAAAUCUCUGAGCUUAACUCAGAACGGCCAAGUGAAACUGUUGUGCUAGAGUGCAGAAGGGGCAAUCGGAAUUCUUGGUGUAGCGGUGAAAUGCGUAGAUAUCAGGAGGAACACCGAUGGCGAAGGCAGGUCUCUGGGCAUUAACUGACGCUGAGGAGCGAAAGCAUGGGGAGCGAACAGG
rnacentral:rRNA from 1 species